rnacentral:rRNA from 1 species
GGUCAUUGGAAACUGGGAGACUUGAGUGCAGAAGAGGAUAGUGGAAUUCCAAGUGUAGCGGUGAAAUGCGUAGAGAUUUGGAGGAACACCAGUGGCGAAGGCGACUAUCUGGUCUGUAACUGACACUGAGGCGCGAAAGCGUGGGGAGCAAAACAGGAUUAGAUACCCUGGUAGUCCACGCCGUAAACGAUGAGUGCUAAGUGUUAGGGGGUUUCCGCCCCUUAGUGCUGCAGCUAACGCAUUAAGCACUCCGCCUGGGGAGUACGGUCGCAAGACUGAAACUCAAAGGAAUUGACGGGGGCCCGCACAAGCGGUGGAGCAUGUGGUUUAAUUCGAAGCAACGCGAAGAACCUUACCAGGUCUUGACAUCCUCUGACAACCCUAGAGAUAGGGCGUUCCCCUUCGGGGGACAGAGUGACAGGUGGUGCAUGGUUGUCGUCAGCUCGUGUCGUGAGAUGUUGGGUUAAGUCCCGCAACGAGCGCAACCCUUGAUCUUAGUUGCCAGCAUUCAGUUGGGCACUCUAAGGUGACUGCCGGUGACAAACCGGAGGAAGGUGGGGAUGACGUCAAAUCAUCAUGCCCCUUAUGACCUGGGCUACACACGUGCUACAAUGGAUGGUACAAAGGGUCGCAAAACCGCGAGGUCAAGCUAAUCCCAUAAAACCAUUCUCAGUUCGGAUUGCAGGCUGCAACUCGCCUGCAUGAAGCCGGAAUCGCUAGUAAUCGUAGAUCAGAAUGCUACGGUGAAUACGUUCCCGGGCCUUGUACACACCGCCCGUCACACCACGAGAGUUUGUAACACCCGAAGUCGGUGAGGUAACCCUUACGGGAGCCAGCCGCCGAAGGUGGGACAGAUGAUUGGGGUGAAGUCGUAACAAGGUAACC